UACGUAGGGUGCAAGCGUUGUCCGGAAUUAUUGGGCGUAAAGAGCUCGUAGGCGGUUUGUUGCGUCGGCUGUGAAAUCCCGAGGCUCAACCUCGGGUCUGCAGUCGAUACGAGCAAACUAGAGUGUUGCAGGGGAGACUGGAAUUCCCGGUGUAGUGGUGGAAUGCGUAGAUAUCGGGAGGAACACCAGUGGCGAAGGCGGUUGCCUGGAGCUUUGCUGACGCUGAGGCGCGAAAGCGUGGGGAGCGAUCCGG
rnacentral:rRNA from 1 species